CGCGUGCGCGAGCGGCGGGUAACGGGGGCGCGCGCUUGGGGGGGACCUGCGGCGCGGCCCCGGGAGCGCGCGCGGCGGGCACGCGCAGCUCGGCCUCGGCCGCCGCCGGGAGCGUGCGGGGACCGACAUCCCGGGAGAGCCGCGACAGAGCGCCGGGAGCCUGCGAGGCGGGAGCGCCUGCCGGCAUAGCCCGGCUGGGGACCCCGUGCUGGUGCAGCGCGCUGGGCACUUAUUAUUUGGGAGACCACUUGGAUAUGAGACUGUGCCCCAAGAUACGAGCAGCCUGAAUGUUUUGUAUGAAACAGGAGUUUUGUCUGCUGGAAACAUGUUGGUUCUCAGAUUUUGCCCGGGCAACUGCUUGUGUGAAAAAAACCCCAGGUUUGGAGCAGACAACCACGUGAUUGAAAUGCGAUGAUGGAAAUCUGUGUGGAACUGGUGUGCCUGGUUUAACAGUGCUGGUAACCUCCCACUUCUGUAAAUACUGCUAUUGCCGUCCCUUCCUGGAACAAGAGUUCGGAGUGAGUUCUGCUGGAUAUAUGCAGAGAACACAUUGCAGGUGUUCUUGUUCUGCAUAAAUGAUUAGGAACACUUAAGAAGCCUUACAGCAUCUGUAAUGGUGUUGGCAGUGACAAAAUGUAUAUUUGUCUUGCAACCCAAUCAUGUUGCACGUUGGUCUGGAAUAUCAAUUUUCAUAUCUAAUCUUUCCUCAGGCCACAUUGUGUUUUCAAUUUUGUAUAAAAUAUCUCACUUCUGGGAAAAACAAGAUACAUGAAGUGUAGUGGGAACAUGAUGCAAUACUUGGUUGUAGUUGCCUCGACGUCCAGGCAUGUAUAAUCACUCUUUUAUGAAAAUGAACUGAAAACACUAGACUCUGUACGUACUUAGCUGUUUAAAUUAUGCAGUAAUGCAGUGCAGUGUAAAAUUAUGGAAACAGCUUUUGUCACAUUUGCAUCAGCCUUUAGAAAGGAUUUAAUCUUUGCCAAACACCCUGUCAGGAAUAUGAAAAAAAUACACAAACUGUUGCUUCUAUUUUAACAGUACGAUUGCACAUUUUACAUAUUCUGAGGUAGUCUUGUUACUUUAAUUCAUUUAUUUAGAGAUAUUUGUAAUAUAAAGAAAACCCAGAAAAGUCUGAAGACUGCAAAUGUCUAAUUACUGUAGAACAACAGAAUGGUUUGGGUUGGAAGGGACCUUAAAGAUCAUCUAGUUCCAAUCCCCCUGCCAUGGGCAGGAACAGCUUCCACUAGACCAGGUUGCUCAGAGCCCCAUCCAACCUGGUCUUCAACACUGGGGCAUCCACAGCUUUUCUGGGCAACCUGUUCCAGUGCCUCACCACCCUCACAGUAAAAAAUUUCUUCUUAAUAUCCAAUCUAAACCUACCCUCUUUCAGUUUAAAGCCAUUCCCCCUUGUCCUGUCACUACAUCCCCUUGUGAAAAGGCCCUUUCCCAGCCUUCUUAUGGGCCUCCUUUAGGCGCUGCAAACUGCUAUAAGGUUUCCCCAGAGCCUUCUCUUCUUCAGGCUGAACAACCCCAACUAAAGUAGGUAAGAACAUUUCUAGGAGUUGAUAUUAUGACAAUAUAUGUCCAUUGUACCUAUAUGUAUUAAUUAAAUAAAGUCUAAAAUUA
ensembl:lncRNA